GAGGGUUUUACGUUUAUAAGUCCUUAAAUUCUUUAUUGAAAAGAACUUUACGCCCAUAUGAGCCAAUGGCUUAAAACAUUAUACAUAAUAUACAGUUUACAUAUAUAAAACAAUGAAAAAGACAACGACCCACAAUACAUAAAAUGGAUAUAAUUUUGUGUUUCCAUUUUGUAAAUGUUUUACCGAGCGAGUACUCUUCACCGAGGUAACAUCCCUUCAUGUUAUUAUAUAUUUUUUUCCAUUGUAGUUAAGAAAACAAUAAAUAGAUUUCAUUUGUCUCCCUUUUUUUUUUAGAGAAUC
rnacentral:lncRNA from 1 species